rnacentral:rRNA from 1 species
AUUGAACGCUGGCGGCAGGCCUAACACAUGCAAGUCGAACGAGUGGCGGACGGGUGAGUAAUGUCUGGGAAACUGCCUGAUGGAGGGGGCUAACUACUGGAAACGGUAGCUAAUACCGCAUACCAUCGGAUGUGCCCAGAUGGGAUUAGCUAGUAGGUGGGGUAACGGCUCACCUAGGCGACGAUCCCUAGCUGGUCUGAGAGGAUGACCAGCCACACUGGAACGGAGACACGGUCCAGCCCCCUACGGGAGGCAGCGGUGGGGAAUAUUGCACAAGGGGCGCAAGCCGGAUGCGGCCAGCCCGCGUGUAUGAGGAGGUCCUUCGGGUUGUAAGGUACUUUCAUCGGGGAGGCGUUACCCGCAGAAGAAGGACCGGCUAACUCCGUGCCAGCAGCCGCGGUAAUUC